UACGUAGGGUGCAAGCGUUGUCCGGAAUUAUUGGGCGUAAAGAGCUCGUAGGCGGUCUGUCGCGUCGGAAGUGAAAACCCGGGGCUCAACCCCGGGCCUGCUUUCGAUACGGGCAGACUAGAGUUCGGCAGGGGAGACUGGAAUUCCUGGUGUAGCGGUGAAAUGCGCAGAUAUCAGGAGGAACACCGGUGGCGAAGGCGGGUCUCUGGGCCGAUACUGACGCUGAGGAGCGAAAGCGUGGGGAGCAAACAGG
rnacentral:rRNA from 1 species